AGUGAACGCUGGCGGUAGGCCUAACACAUGCAAGUCGAACGGCAGCACAGUAAGAGCUUGCUCUUACGGGUGGCGAGUGGCGGACGGGUGAGGAAUACAUCGGAAUCUACUUUUUCGUGGGGGAUAACGUAGGGAAACUUACGCUAAUACCGCAUACGACCUACGGGUGAAAGCAGGGGAUCUUCGGACCUUGCGCGAUUGAAUGAGCCGAUGUCGGAUUAGCUAGUUGGCGGGGUAAAGGCCCACCAAGGCGACGAUCCGUAGCUGGUCUGAGAGGAUGAUCGGCCACACUGGAACUGAGACACGGUCCAGACUCCUACGGGAGGCAGCAGUGGGGAAUAUUGGGCAAUGGGCGCAAGCCUGAUCCAGCCAUACCGCGUGGGUGAAGAAGGCCUUCGGGUUGUAAAGCCCUUUUGUUGGGGAAGAAAAGCAGCGGGUUAAUACCCCGCUGUUCUGACGGUACCCAAAGAGUAAGCACCGGCUAACUUCGUG
rnacentral:rRNA from 1 species